AUUGAACGCUGGCGGCAGGCCUAACACAUGCAAGUCGAGCGAGCGGCGGACGGGUGAGUAAUGUAUGGGGACUGCCCGAUAGAGGGGGAUAACUACUGGAAACGGUGGCUAAUACCGCAUACUAUCGGAUAACCCAUAUGGGAUUAGCUAGUAGGUGGGGUAAAGGCUCACCUAGGCGACGAUCUCUAGCUGGUCUGAGAGGAUGAUCGGCCAAACUGGGACGGAGAAACGGCCCAGAUCCCUAGGGGGGAAGCAGUGGGGAUUAUGGACCAAUGGGCGCAAGCCUGAUGCAACCAUGCCGCGUGUAUGAAGAGGGCCUUAGGGUUGUAAAUAACUUUAAGCGGGGGGGCGUUACCCGAAGAAGAAGCACCGGCUAACUCCGUGCAAGCAGCCGCGGUAAUU
rnacentral:rRNA from 1 species